GUUGAAGCAAAGGACCCGGAUAAAUACGCACCUAACAAUGUUCUGAACUACUACAUCAGUACACCUGCUACACCGUUUACUAUCAGUGACCUAGGGGAGAUAACAGUUGCCACGGGGCAGACAACACAUCACGAGAAAACUGUUGUCUGGAACAUAGAGGUUGUUGCCACAGACGCAGGCGUUCCUCAACACACAGCUAGCACGACCGUUCUUAUUGUCGUCUGCCCAACAGGGAAACCAGACUCCCUUAAACCCUGUGCUUAAUAUACAGAAGAUGAAUAACAAUGUUUUCAAAGAUGGUGAAAACCUUUCUUUUAAAAUAAAACUGAUAAACAGCAUGAUUGUCCAAAAUAACGAGAUUUUUUUAUUUCUUUGCAUUUGUUUGGAAUUUAAUUGUCUUCUAAAUUUAAACCGCACAGCUGACAGACAUUGUGAGAUGCAAUCUUAUAUCAAGACAAAUAUUAGUGACUGUUCCUUAUUUUUUUGUUAUCAUACUUUCCCUAUUAUUCUGUUAUUAUCUAUAAAUGCUAACACUUUUAAAUGAAACUAAUGCUUAC